GACGAACGCUGGCGGCGUGCUUAACACAUGCAAGUCGAACGGAAAGGCCCUGCUUUUGUGGGGUGCUCGAGUGGCGAACGGGUGAGUAACAAGUGAGUAACCUGCCCUUGACUUUGGGAUAACUUCAGGAAACUGGGGCUAAUACCGGAUAGGAGCUCCUGCUGCAUGGUGGGGGUUGGAAAGUUUCGGCGGUUGGGGAUGGACUCUCGGCUUAUCAGCUUGUUGGUGGGGUAGUGGCUUACCAAGGCUUUGACGGGUAGACGGACCGAGGGGGUGACCGGCCACCUCGGGACUGAGCUAAGGCCCAGACUGCUAAGGGUAACAGCAGUGGCGCAUAUUGCACAAUGCCCGGAACCCUGACGCAGAACACCCGCGUGCGAGAUGACCGCGUGCGGGUUGUAAACCGCUUUAGACUGUGACGAAGAGUGUGUGACGGUAAUGGCUAAAGAAGCACCGGCUAAAUACGUG
rnacentral:rRNA from 1 species